GACGAACGCUGGCGGCGUGCUUAACACAUGCAAGUCGAACGGAAAGGCCUCUUUCGGGGGGUACUCGAGUGGCGAACGGGUGAGUAACACGUGAGUAACCUGCCCUUGACUUUGGGAUAACUUCAGGAAACUGGGGCUAAUACCGGAUAGGAGCUCCUGCUGCAUGGUGGGGGUUGGAAAGUUUCGGCGGUUGGGGAUGGACUCGCGGCUUAUCAGCUUGUUGGUGGGGUAGUGGCUUACCAAGGCUUUGACGGGUAGCCGGCCUGAGAGGGUGACCGGCCACAAUGGGACUGAGGUACGGGCCAGACUUCUACGGGGGGCAGCAGUGGGGAAAAUUGCCACAUGGGUGGGAGCCUGAUGCAGCAACGCCGUGUGCGGGAUGACGGCCUUCGGGUUGUAAACCGCUUUCGCUCAUGACGAAGCUUUGUGUGACGGUAGUGGGUAAAGAAGCACCGGCUAACUACGUG
rnacentral:rRNA from 1 species